rnacentral:rRNA from 1 species
GUGGGGAAUCUUAGACAAUGGGGGAAACCCUGAUCUAGCCAUGCCGCGUGAUCGAUGAAGGCCUUAGGGUUGUAAAGAUCUUUCAGGUGGGAAGAUAAUGACUGUACCACCAGAAGAAGCCCCGGCUAACUCCGUGCCAGCAGCCGCGGUAAUACGGCGGGGGCUAGCGUUGUUCGGAAUUACUGGGCGUAAAGCGCACGUAGGCGGAUUGGAAAGUUGGGGGUGAAAUCCCGGGGCUCAACCCCGGAACUACCUUCAAAACUCCCAGUCUUGAGUUCGAGAGAGGUGAGUGGAAUUCCGAGUGUAGAGGUGAAAUUCGUAGAUAUUCGGAGGAACACCAGUGGCGAAGGCGGCUCACUGGCUCGAUACUGACGCUGAGGUGCGAAAGCGUGGGGAGCAAACAGGAUUAGAUACCCCGGUAGUCC